rnacentral:ncRNA from 1 species
UAACACUGGCGGCUGCGUAUCACUCUAGGGUACGUGAUAGUGCGAUAUAAGAAGCACUGGUACAUGCCGGCAGGGACAGUUAAGAGAUGGCCGCAGUCUCGUGUCCCUGCCGGUUUGGCUA